rnacentral:other from 1 species
ACAGACCUGGGGAUGAAGCAUAAUACGAGUUUCGCCCUACAAUGUAUUUUUCGGGAGCUGUCCCUGAUCACAGUGAGCAUGCCCAACAAUCGUGGAAUUGCGAUUGAUAAAUGGGAAGCCUAAAGUGAUUACUAAUUGCGCCCACCUUCUUUGAAGGGGCGCGAAACCGAAGUCUUCCCCCAGGUCUUCA